rnacentral:piRNA from 1 species
CUCACUGUCAGGAGUGAAGCUGAUGAA